GCACGGGUGAGUAACGCGUGGGAACCUGUCAUGGAGUGGGGAACAACCACUGGAAACGGUGGCUAAUACCGCAUGAGCCCUGAGGGGCAAAGGUCGCAAGACCGCUUUGUGAGGGGCCCGCGUCCGAUUAGCUAGUUGGUGGGGUAAUGGCCUACCAAAGCUGCGAUCGGUAGCUGGUCUGAGAGGAUGAUCAGCCACACUGGGACUGAGACACGGCCCAGACUCCUACGGGAGGCAGCAGUGGGGAAUAUUGGACAAUGGGCGAAAGCCUGAUCCAGCAAUGCCGCGUGAGUGAAGAAGGCCUUAGGGUUGUAAAGCUCUUUCGCCUGCGACGAUGAUGACGGUAGCAGGAGAAGAAGCCCCGGCUAAUUCCGUGCCAGCAGCCGCGGUAAUACGGAAGGGGCUAGCGUUGUUCGGAAUUACUGGGCGUAAAGCGCGCGUAGGCGGCUUGGCAAGUGAGGCGUGAAAGUCCUGGGCUCAACCUGGGGACGGCGCUUCAGACUGUUUGGCUUGAGUCCGGAAGAGGGUGGUGGAAUUCCGAGUGUAGAGGUGAAAUUCGUAGAUAUUCGGAGGAACACCGGUGGCGAAGGCGGCCACCUGGUCCGGAACUGACGCUGAAGUGCGAAAGCGUGGGGAGCAAACAGGAUUAGAUACCCUGGUAGUCCACGCUGUAAACGAUGGGUGCUAGAUGUUGGGAGGCUUGCUUCUCGGUGUCGUAGCUAACGCGUUAAGCGCCCCGCCUGGGGAGUACGGCUGCAAGGUUAAAACUCAAAG
rnacentral:rRNA from 1 species